rnacentral:lncRNA from 1 species
AUGGAGGAGCCGAGGCCUCCCCGCCCUCCUCGCCCUCCUCUCCUACCUGUCCCCGGGGCCGGAGGGAGGCUGUCUGGCGGCGCCGCGGCAGGAGGCGGGCGGCUGGACUCGGCGCUGCCGCCUGUGGGCGGUGCUGAGGGGGGACCCGCGCUGCGCCCCGCCCGCCGGCUGACUGGGGUUGACCUGGCCGCCACAUGCUUAAGCGACCUCAAAGGAAGAGAAGAGAAAUCUGCUAGAAUUCCGCUGAGAGCAAGAUGGGCUGUUCCUUUACGUAAGAAAGGCAGAGGAACUUCAUACAGCAAAAAGUGCAAACAAGGGACACCCCUAGAAAAGAAGCACUGCCAACCCAAACUGGUACACAAAGCCAUGGUGCUCCAGGUGACAGGAUCCUUG